rnacentral:rRNA from 1 species
CCCUUAGACGUUCUGGGCCGCACGCGCGCUACACUGACCAGUGCAACAAGCAUCCGUCCUUGGCCGACAGGCUCGGGCAAUCUUUGAACGCUGGUCGUGAUGGGGAUAGACUUUUGCAAUUUUUGGUCUUCAACGAGGAAUUCCUAGUAAACGCAAGUCAUCAACUUGCAUUGAUUACGUCCCUGCCCUUUGUACACACCGCCCGUCGCACCUACCGAUUGAAUGGUUUAGUGAGUAGGUAGGAUCGGUUCUCCGCUAUUACCCGCAAACUGAACCAUUUAGAGGAAGUAAAAGUCGUAACA